AAAAAUCUGAGGUGUGAAAGAAGAAAGAGCAGAGAGUUUCCAGGGGAGAUCUCAGAGAGGCACAGAAUCCCUGAGAGAAAGACUGUGAGAGACACCACAGCACAAGCCAACAUCCCACAGAAGAGAGAGAAGAGGAGAGCAGAAUUUACUUGGACAUGGAAGCUGAAGUAAUCUGUGCAUGAGAAAGAAAAGCAGGAAGCCCAGAAGAAGGGUUGCUUCAGUAGAGUACACAGAGAGAGGAAGAAGGUCCAGUGUUGUGCCUCUCUGUAUCUUAUUUCUGAAGCUUUUGAUUUCCCAAAAUUUGGUCAGUUUUGCUAGAGGAUCUUUAUCCUCUUUUGUCUAUUCACAUCUUUACCACAAGAGAAACAGGCUAUAUUCCUGGAGCUGAAACACUUCACAGAAAUUCAAGCACAACAAAAUCCAGGAUAGCUGCAACCCAUUCAGAAGGCUAUAAAAGAAAGAACUGGACAGGAAGUCUUGGCAGUAAAAGCAUGAGAAAAACAGGAGGCUAUCCAAAGACAUUCAAGGGUCAGUUGAGACACUCUUGGAGAUUACCUGGAGGAUAUCAUUCCAGAAGGACAUAUGCAUCUCAUGAAUCCUGUGUCCUAUUUGACGGCCCUAUGUUAAAACAUACAGAUGACUGAAUUUAGCCUCAGAACUUCCUGCAGCAGGAUAAUGAGGACAAUGAGAGAGAAAGAGCAGAAAAGCAGUUAGUGGAACAGGAAGGUAGAAGCACUUUUAUCAGCUUUGCAAUGUGCAGUUGUUACCUGAAGUGCGGGAACUACCUCAUGUCAUUUCAGUACAGUGAACUCAGACUUCUGCCUAUCCUUCAUGCAUGUAUGCAGACUACACAGAAGAUAUACCCUUGCCUGCUACAUAACUCAAAAACAUCUGCAUUGCCUUUGAGCAGACUAAAAUCUAUGUAUGCGUGUAAGUGGGUGGGAUGGAUUUCUCUAGUCCCAUAUUCUACAAGAGACUUGCACUCACCUCAGCAACAUCACUGGCAUCUACUCUGCUAUUAGCACAGCUGUUUGGGGAACAGAGUCUUCAUUUUUGGAAAAAUGAUAAAGUAUCUCUAUUUAG
ensembl:lncRNA